rnacentral:rRNA from 1 species
GAUGAACGCUGGCGGCGUGCCUAAUACAUGCAAGUCGAGCGAACGGACGAGAAGCUUGCUUCUCUGAUGUUAGCGGCGGACGUGUGAGUAACACGUGUAUAACCUACCUAUAAGACUGGGAUAACUUCGGGAAACCGGAGCUAAUACCGGAUAAUAUUUUGAACCGCAUGGUUCAAAAGUGAAAGACGGUCUUGCUGUCACUUAUAGAUGUUUCCGCGCUUCAUUAGCUAGUUGGUAAGGUAACGGCUUACCAAGGCAAGGAUGCAUAGCCGACAUGAGAGGGAGAUCGGCCACACUGGAACUGAGACACGGACCAGAGUCCUACGGGAGGCAGCAGUAGGGAAUCUUACGCAAUGGGCGAAAGCAUGACGGAGCAACGCCGCGUGAGUGAUGAAGGUCUUCGGAUCGUAAAACUCUGUUAUUAGGGAAGAACAUAUGUGUAAGUAACUGUGCACAUCUUGACGGUACCUAAUCAGAAAGCCACGGCUAACUACGUG